rnacentral:lncRNA from 1 species
CAGGGAUCUGCCAGCACCCUGUGGGGCCCAGACUACAGGCUGAUGGCGGGGGCUUCGAGUGACCCGGGCGCCGAGGAGCGGGAAGAGUUGCUGGGGCCCACUGCUCAGUGGAGCGUGGAGGACGAGGAGGAGGCUGUCCACGAGCAAUGCCAGCAUGAGAGAGACAGGCAGCUUCAGGCGCAGGACGAGGAGGGAGGCGGCCAUGUCCCCGAGCGGCCGAAGCAGGAGAUGCUGUGAGCAGCCCCCUAACGCGUGCCUGGGCUCUAGCCCCUAUCCGUGUACCCUGGGGCCUGGGCAGAGGCGGAGGUC